rnacentral:miRNA from 1 species
UCUUGUGUUCUGUAGAUCAGU